rnacentral:rRNA from 1 species
UACGGAGGGUGCAAGCGUUAUCCGGAUUCACUGGGUUUAAAGGGUGCGUAGGUGGGCAGGUAAGUCAGUGGUGAAAUCUCCGGGCUUAACCCGGGAAACUGCCAUUGAUACUAUCUGUCUUGAAUACCGUGGAGGUGAGCGGAAUAUGUCAUGUAGCGGUGAAAUGCUUAGAUAUGAACAUAGAACACCGAUAGCGAAGGCAGCUUGCUACACAAUCAUUGACACUGAGGCACGAAAGCGUGGGGAUCAAACAGGA